AUUAGAAAAAAAUCCUGAACAAGCUACAUUGAUUCAAUUUUCGUUGUUCGUUUUGUUCUUAUUCGCUGACAUUUGUUUUCCAAUUGCGUGAAAUUUGGUCAUUUCCUUAGUGUUUCGCUGACCGACCUGUGCUGGUAUUGUGAUUAAGAGCUAAUACACAUUUUUCGGACGAUUCUGCUGUGCUGCGUUCCUGCUCCGCCUGUAUAUUGCUCCGCCCGUAUUUUAUAGUGUUGCGUUCCUGUUGCGCCUUUGCAUUAGUGUGUGCGUUGUGAUUUAGACACGUUGAAAUUUUUUGUAUGCUUCUGCUGUGCUGCGUUCCUGCUCCACCCGUGUAUUAGAUUGCUGCGUUCCUGUUAACAUACAUAUCGUCGCUUAAAGUACAAAACCGCGUAACUGACAUUUGCUGCUAAAAAUUGGAUUCGCUCACACACGUUUUUGGAUCAAUCCUUAUCCAUUCUUCCUGAAAUAUACUAGCCAAAAAUGCGAUUGCUUUUUACAAAAAGAUAACCAUUUUGAAAUAUGAAUGUUUUUACUCUCUAGAAAUUAAUUUAUGCAACCUCGCAUACGUGGGUUUGCAUUAUCUCUAUACGCGGUUUUGCAAUUUAUUGAUACAUGGUUUUUUACUUUA